rnacentral:misc_RNA from 1 species
GAGAUUUUUUCCUGCUUGCAGGAAAUCUCCCACCCUUUGUGUACCCAAAUUUUAUUACUUUGGUGAAGCGUUUUUUUAUUCUUCACAGAAGCGGAAAACCAUCGACUGUCAAAAGUGGAUGUGUCUUCACCAAAGGAAACCCUCAACUCUAUUAUUUUAAAAUUGUCUGAGUUUAUAUUUUAAAUAAACAAAACUUUCAACAACGGAUCUCUUGGUUCU